CGGCGAGGCAGCGCCGGGGUGGCGACGGGGUCUCGGCCACUGACCACGCAUUUCUUGCCGAGGAAGGUGAAGAGGGACUCGUUCUCCUGUGGGUAAUCAUGCGAUAUGAGCUUGUUUUCAACUCCAACAUGCCAAAGACUGAGCACACCAAUAACCUGAGAAACUUUAGUUAUGUAACAUCUUGGUAGAAUUUACUGCUUUCUCCGUGGAAGACUCUUCGCCAUGAAUUCAUGUGAUGUCUGCCUCUGGCACUACUAGAGAUUGAACUCGGGACUUUGCACUUGCCAGAUGGCAUGUGGCCCAGGUCAGGACAAGGAAAGAAUUCUGCCCUGCAACUUGAGUUUCAAAAGAAGUUAUUCUGGAAGAAAAAAAUCAAUUGUUCACUCUGGUGAUGGAGAGCUGAGGAGAUUGCCCAUGAGUUCCUUUUGGCGUGGUCCUAAGCAGAAUUAUACAAAAUUAAUGUAAAGCCAGACUCUGCCUGAUAAAAGCCACAUGGGCCUCUUCUGCCUCAAAUCAGAAGCAACUGUAGCAGGGUGAGCAGACCAAGGGCGACCUACCGAGAGCCGCAGUGCAGGUGGCGAGCUGGGGCUGAAGACAGGCCAGAACACAUGCGUGAGAAUGAACCGAAGACCCAAACUAUUGGUGAUAUCUACUGAGACCCACUCGUUGCCUUGAUUUGGUAACUUCAUUUUCUAUGUAAUUAAAACUUAUAGCCCUUCUGUAGGGGGUUUCAUGACAGUAUAAUCUGUUCUUGUUUAAGAAGCUCUUGGCAGUCUGUAGGGAUUUUUUUUCCCCUAUAAUUCUUGUUCAGAUUUAUUCUUCAAUUUUUUGAAUUUAUUGUCAGUUAACAAAUUUUUGCCUCCAUGUAGAAGAAUGCCUGUGUUUUCCUCUUGUAUGAAUACUUGUUUGUGAACUCACAUAGAAGAGAAUCAUAUCAGUUCUGAUUUAUCAGAUUUGAGCCUAGUUUGACAUAUUUAAAAACUAAAUAUUUAUAAAUUCUAUUGAUUCUUAUCUAUUUUUACAUAAUGUUUGAUGUUAUUCUAAUUCACUGCUUCUUUCCUG